rnacentral:tRNA from 1 species
GGAGAAUUGGCCGAGUGGUCGAAGGCGCACGCUUGGAAAGCGUGUAUACCGAAAGGUAUCGAGGGUUCGAAUCCCUUGUUCUCCG